AUUGAACGCUGGCGGCAGGCCUAACACAUGCAAGUCGAACGAGUGGCGGACGGGUGAGUAAUGUCUGGGAAACUGCCCGAUGGAGGGGGAUCACUACUGGAAACGGUAGCUAAUACCGCAUCCCAUCGGAUGUGCCCCGAUGGGAUUAGCUAGUAGGUGGGGUAAAGGCGCUCCGAGUCGACGAUCCCUAGCUGGUCUGAGAGGUUGAACAGCCACCCUGGAAAUGAGACACGUUCCAGACUCCUACGGGAGGCAGCAGUGGGGAAUAUUGCACAAUGGGCGCAAGCCUGAUGCAGCCAUGCCGCGUGUAUGAAGAAGGCCUUCGGGUUGUAAAGUACUUUCAGCGAGGAGGCGUUACUCGCAGAAGAAGCACCGGCUAACUCCGUGCCAGCAGCCGCGGUAAUAC
rnacentral:rRNA from 1 species